rnacentral:rRNA from 1 species
UACGGAGGAUGCAAGCGUUAUCCGGAAUGAUUGGGCGUAAAGCGUCCGCAGGUGGCUGUGUAAGUCUGCUGUUAAAGAGUGACGCUCAACCUCAUAAAGGCAGUGGAAACUACAUGGCUAGAGUGCGUUCGGGGCAGAGGGAAUUCCUGGUGUAGCGGUGAAAUGCGUAGAGAUCAGGAAGAACACCGGUGGCGAAAGCGCUCUGCUAGGCCGCAACUGACACUGAGGGACGAAAGCUAGGGGAGCGAAUGGG